GACGAACGCUGGCGGCGUGCCUAAUACAUGCAAGUAGAACGCUGAAGGAGGAGCUUGCUUCUCUGGAUGAGUUGCGAACGGGUGAGUAACGCGUAGGUAACCUGCCUGGUAGCGGGGGAUAACUAUUGGAAACGAUAGCUAAUACCGCAUAAGAGUAGAUGUUGCAUGACAUUUGCUUAAAAGGUGCAAUUGCAUCACUACCAGAUGGACCUGCGUUGUAUUAGCUAGUUGGUGGGGUAACGGCUCACCAAGGCGACGAUACAUAGCCGACCUGCGAGGGGGAUCGGCCACACUGGGACUGAGAAACGGCCCAGACUCCUACGGGAGGCAGCAGUAGGGAAUCUUCGGCAAUGGACGGAAGUCUGACCGAGCAACGCCGCGUGAGUGAAGAAGGGUUUCGGAUCGUAAAGCUCGGUUGUAAGAGAAGAACGAGUGUGAGAGUGGAAAGUUCACACUGUGACGGUAUCUUACCAGAAAGGGACGGCUAACUACGUG
rnacentral:rRNA from 1 species